GGGGCUGUAGCUCAGUUGGAUAGAGCGGUCGCCUCCUAAGCGACAGGUCGAGGGUUCGAGUCCCGCCAGUCCCG
rnacentral:tRNA from 1 species